rnacentral:lncRNA from 1 species
GCUUCUUUCAGGGGCAGAUGAUGAGCUUAAAUGAACGAUGACUCAAUUUUUUUAUUUCAUUGUUCUAUUAAGUAUGUGAUAAAGUUCAUUUACAAAAAAAUAUAGCGAAAUCCUAUAUUAAAAAAAAAAAAUAUUUAUACCCGCGAGCCCCCUUAAGUACAUAUAGUAAUUACAUGUAUUACCACUCUAUCAUCUCCAAUCAGAACAAUUAAUUUUUCAAGAUUUCAAAAUGUAAGGCUUGUCUUUCUGAAUCUAAAUGAUGAAAAUUUAAAAACAUUUGAUUCACAUGUUGAUCAAAUAAAACAUAGGAUAUGGAAAAAAAAUAACACUAAGAUUUUUAUAAAAAAAAUAAUCUAUGACAGC